UGGGGAAUAUUGCACAAUGGGCGAAAGCCUGAUGCAGCAACGCCGCGUGAGGGAUGACGGCCUUCGGGUUGUAAACCUCUUUUAGCAGGGAAGAAGCGAGAGUGACGGUACCUGCAGAAAAAGCGCCGGCUAACUACGUGCCAGCAGCCGCGGUAAUACGUAGGGCGCAAGCGUUAUCCGGAAUUAUUGGGCGUAAAGAGCUCGUAGGCGGUUUGUCGCGUCUGCUGUGAAAUCCCGAGGCUCAACCUCGGGCCUGCAGUGGGUACGGGCAGACUAGAGUGCGGUAGGGGAGAUUGGAAUUCCUGGUGUAGCGGUGGAAUGCGCAGAUAUCAGGAGGAACACCGAUGGCGAAGGCAGAUCUCUGGGCCGUAACUGACGCUGAGGAGCGAAAGGGUGGGGAGCAAACAGGCUUAGAUACCCUGGUAGUCCACCCCGUAAACGUUGGGAACUAGUUGUGGGGUCCAUUCCACGGAUUCCGUGACGCAGCUAACGCAUUAAGUUCCCCGCCUGGGGAGUACGGCCGCAAGGCCUA
rnacentral:rRNA from 1 species